rnacentral:rRNA from 1 species
CCCUUAGAUGUUCUGGGCUGCACACGUGCUACACUGGCAGGUUCAGCGAGCUUCAUGCCCUGAUCUGAAAGGAAUGGGAAAUCUUUUCAAAACCUGCCGUGCUUGGGAUAGAUGUUUGCAAUUAUUCAUCUUCAACGAGGAUUGCCUUGUAAGCGCACGUCAUCAGCGUGCAUUGAAUACGACCCUGUAUUCUGUACACACCGCCCGUCGCUCCUACCGAUUGAAGUUUUCGGUGAGUUGACAGGAGGAUUUUUUUGAAACUGGUUCGCCAGUGGAUUUUAGAUCCAAAUGCCAACGAAUCGAUGGGUUUAGAGGAAGGAGAAGUCGUAACA